rnacentral:sRNA from 1 species
UAGUCAAUGUAACUGCAAAUCUAAUUUCAUCCUCCUUUCCUGAGGUAGGCCUAACCUAGUUUAAAGGCAUAGGUUAAGACAGAAGUCUAGACACAACUCAAGUGUGGUAGGUGACAGGUAUUACUUUGUGAAAAAGAUUAUAAUUUAAACCAUGGGGGUUCAUAAAAUAUUUCAGCAGUCAUUCUUUUACUUAGAAACACUGACGAUGGUUCUACUUACAUUAGCAUUCUGGUUUAGAUUGGAUCUUUAAAAUUCUCAUGAAAAUUAUGAUAUUCACGUAUUAAUCAGACACCCUGGUAAAAUUGUUUCUCUCAUCCAAGUUAAUGGCCAAUUAGUGCUCCAGGACCUAUCAGAUUCAUGAACAGUAGUUGAGUGAGGAAGAGAAUGAAAAGUGUCUCAUUGUUGUUAUUCUGGGAGCACACUGGAGGGUGGGCCUUGCAUCUCUCUGUUUAUUACAGGCCAACUCAGGAAAUGAAAGGACGAUUCUUAUUUCCACUGCGGUUACUUUUGUGGAUGUGUCUGCACCUGCAGAGGCAGGCUUCAGAGCUCCGCCAGCCAUCAAUGCCAGGCUGCCCUUUAACUUCUUCUUCCCGUUUGUUUGACAAUGCUCAGAUGCAUCAGUUCCUUAAUAUACACAUGAAAUUUGAAAACUGUACAUUCGAUGAGAUUAAAUUUUAUAUACAACUA